ACGGAAGGCAGCAGUGGGGAAUAUUGCACAAUGGGGGAAACCCUGAUGCAGCGACGCCGCGUGAGUGAAGAAGUAUUUCGGUAUGUAAAGCUCUAUCAGCAGGGAAGAUAAUGACGGUACCUGACUAAGAAGCCCCGGCUAACUACGUGCCAGCAGCCGCGGUAAUACGUAGGGGGCAAGCGUUAUCCGGAUUUACUGGGUGUAAAGGGUGCGUAGGUGGUAUGGCAAGUCAGAAGUGAAAACCCGGGGCUCAACCCCGUGGAUUGCUUUUGAAACUGUCGAACUAGAGUACCGGAGAGGUAAGCGGAAUUCCGAGUGUAGCGGUGAAAUGCGUAGAUAAUAGGAGGAACACCCGUGGCGAAGGCGGCUUACUGGACGGUAACUGACACUGAGGCACGAAAGCGUGGGGAGCAAACAGGAUU
rnacentral:rRNA from 1 species